rnacentral:lncRNA from 1 species
GACUGCUGAGACCAAGCAUGUCCCAACAAGCCCCAUUUUGCGCUGUGCUGCUCUUGACAGAUGCAUGAUUGCUCUUCUGCUAUGAUUUUGCGCAGGACACUGCAAUGCACCGAAGAGCAUCUACUGCAUUGUGCUCCACCACUUACUUUCAAUCCAAAUGCUAAAGGGAGAACUAUCUUGAGUGCUGGCUUACCUUCAGUCCUGAUGUGCUUGCCAGUACCUGGGACAUCCAACCACUCCAGUAAUAAUUCCAACAGCAGUGGUACCAGAGUUGUUUCCAUGCCAUGCUGCCCGUUGGCACUCAGGGAAGAACAAACCAAAACAGAAAACUUGCAGCUACCACAUGGAGAUGGGCUGGAGAAGGAGAUAGCUGCUGUCACCAGACAUCUUGGCAAAUACCCAUUGUUUCUUAGGAAUGUGCUUAAAAAAAGACAAGGAAGUGGAGAAGAAACAGCUCCUUUUAUUUCCCUCCAAGCCCAUCCCUUUGGUCUUGAGUUAAUGGAAAACAUAUUUUUAUGUCCUGAAAGAUGCAAGAGACAUUUGUGGAUGUGCGCAUCGGAAAAGAAGCCCUGUCUGGCUGGGAGGAGAAGGAGCUGGUGCAAACCUGGACCUUGAAGAGACAGAGGGAGACAUGGACAAAGGCAGAGCUGCACAGUGAAUCUUUCCAUGAGAGGGAAGGGAAGAACAUAUUCUGCCCACAGAAGCAUA